rnacentral:rRNA from 1 species
GGAGUUUGGUCCGUGUCUCAGUACCAAUGUGGGGGACCUUCCUCUCAGAACCCCUACUGAUCGUUGCCCCGGUGGGCCGUUACCCCGCCGGCAAGCUAAUCAGACGCAUCCCCAUCCCUUACCGAUGAAUCUUUGCUCCUCGUUAGAUGCCUGCAAAGGAGAACAUAGAGUAUUAAUCCGACUUUCGCCGGGCUAUCCUCUAGUAAGGGGAAGGUUGGAUACGCGUUACUCACCCGUGCGCCGGUCGCCAUCGGGAGCCGCAAGCGACUCCCAUGCUGCCCCUCGACUUGCAUGUGUUAAGCCUGUAGCUAGCGUUCAUC